rnacentral:misc_RNA from 1 species
ACACCCUCAAGCUCUGCUUGGUGUUGGGCGUCUGUCCCGCCUCCGCGCGUGGACUCGCCCCAAAGGCAUUGGCAGCGGUCUCUUGCACCUCUCGCGCAGCACAUUGCGCUUCUCGAGGCGGCGAGGUCGCGUCCAUCAAGCUCUUUUACCGU